rnacentral:rRNA from 1 species
UACGUAGGGUGCGAGCGUUGUCCGGAAUUAUUGGGCGUAAAGAGCUUGUAGGCGGUUUGUCGCGUCUGCUGUGAAAAUCCGGGGCUCAACCCCGGACUUGCAGUGGGUACGGGCAGACUAGAGUGUGGUAGGGGAGACUGGAAGUUCCUGGUGUAGCGGUGAAAUGCGCAGAUAUCAGGAAGAACACCCGUGGCUAAGGCGGCUCUCUAGUACGGUACUGACGCUGAGACGCGAAAGCGUGGGGAGCGAACAGG